AGCCUGGGGGCCGCCCCUCGCUCUGGCUCCCCAAACCCAGGCUGACUAGCACACUUUGGAAUGCACUUCAUUAAAAUUUAGCUGCCCGAUUCCAACCUGCAAUGCGGAGGAGGCAAUACAAAGCGCACGCCACACUUCCUCCAGCAUCCCCUUCAAAAGCCCCAUUGUUCGGCAGGCAUCUGCUCUGGAGCCCAGCCUCUCCCUACCCACUGACCUCUGAAAUUUUUUUCCUUCCCUGCUUCUCCUCCCACCCUGCCCAGCCAAACGGGGCCUGCCUGCCCGUUGAAUUAAAACACAGCCUCAGCCAUCUGGCCCUCCCAAGCUGGCCCACAGUCUCCCCUCCUCCCUGGUCCACACACCACACAUGGCAUCUUCACCUCCAUGGAUGUUCCCACAACCCAAGCGCAAACCUCCUGUGGCAGGAGCCCCGGUCGCCGCCUGCCUGAUCCCAGCCUUCUUUCCAGUGGCCGAGCGUUCGAAUCCAGAGGUGGGCAGGGGUUGGCCGGGGAAGAUCAUGGACUUGUACUUGCCUGCAAAAGCCCAGCCAAUCGCCAAGAUUAAUCCUUCCUUUUGUGCGCCUGAAAGAGCCUCCCACCACGCUGGUCUUCAGCUCCGCAGCGGCUGGUUUCUCUUGUGCUUGGGCCACCAUGGCAGGCUCAAGUCUGCCUUUCUAGCACUCAUCUUCCUGGGAGAGGAGUGAAGAUGCUCAAGGGAGAGCACUUAGGAUUCUAAGACUCCACACUGGAAUCAGGCCUGUGCUCCAAGUCCAUCUCUCCUCAAUUCUGCUGUUGAUCAUCUGUGAACUGUGCUGGGAACUUUUUGUACAUUAUUCUCACAUGAUAGUAGUCAUUGUUGUGUGUAUGAAUGUAUGAAUUCACAUGUGUGCACAUGUGCAUGUGAGGUCACAGGUCAGUAUCAGGUGUCACCUUUAUCACCAUUUCUGUUAAAAUUUUUACACACAGGAAAACGGGCAAGUAAAGUGUCUACAGCCCAUCCAUAUAGAAAAAAGGGUUACUGUAUAUCACAUGUUACUACUGUUCAUUAUAAUCACAUACUAA